UUCCAACCCGCCUUUGGCGGUUAUGUUUGGUCAAUUUCUUUUGACCGGGGUUUACGGACCCC
rnacentral:misc_RNA from 1 species